CAUUUAAGGACUGACAGCCACUCUUGAAGGAGCUCUGGUUGCAGUUUUCUCUUUUGUGGACUUUUCCCUGUGAGCCUAUAUCUUUAGAGACAGGCACCUAAAACACAGUUGGCAGCUGAAGGUGGACUGCAGCAGACUGCCUGGUCAUGGCACCUGCCUCCUUAUCCAGACCUACACACAGACAGUCUCUCCUGGAGCCAGCCAGUGAGGCUAGAGGCACUUGGGUAGAGAUUAGCCCAGGCCCUUAGGGGGAAAGCUCAGCUGUCACAAACCUGGGUCUGAAAAACUGAUUGUUUUGCAUGAUCAUUCUCACCUGUGAUCCUGCAGAUCACUGCUCACUCAGGAUGAGAGCUAUCAGCCCUAUAGCCUUCUGUAGGGAUGUUAAAAUUGUUGUCUCACAUGCAAGUAGGAGGGUGGCAUGCAGGAAGUGCCACACUUGUUUUAAGGGCAGUGGAUGUACCCUGCUAGAGACCACCAUUAGAGUUUUAACUUCAAGCUUCAUCAGGCACCAUGUGGAAGCUACAAGUAAUCUUGCUCAUUCUAGUGGAGAGCUGCUGUGCUUAACGAAAACUCCAGUCAACAACUUGAACAAAAAGAUAGGACCUCUCUCAGAAAGAAAUGGGCUGAGAUACUGAAUCAGUCAUUGCAAGAUUUUCUUGCCUUAUAAAGUGAUUUUUUAAAAUUGCCUAUUCAUUUUUGUAAAGCACUGUGGUUGGAUGUGCUGGACAAAUCGUGUCUUACUCAGUGCAACCAGCAAACAUGGAAAAAAAUUAGGAACAAGUGCUCCAUGCAACAGCAUACCACUGGGAGAGUCCCCCAAGAACAUCCUGAAAAAUGAAGACCAGCUGGGGAGCCUACAGAGAAUGAAGGCUUGUGUAACAAGAGGCCCUUGGAGGAUAGAGAAAGACCUUGUCCCUGCUUCAGGCUGUGAAGGGUAGUACUUGAAGAAUGCAAAUUAUUAACAUCUGCAUGAUGUGGAGGCUCAGACUUUUCAGAGGAGAGGGAUGGGAGACCGAUGUAUUCAUAUGCAAUAGAAUCCUUCCCUCACAUGGCACAAGCUUGAACACAAUUGCAGCCCUCAUGCAGGCUGUGUUUGUGGAGGUGCCUGAAAGUAGAGAUAAAAACCUCCUGUGCUUUGUCUCUUUGAGGACAAGAGAUAAAUAGGUGAAUGAUGUCACUCCUCUUCUGUGACAGGUAACCACAUUCCUCUUUAUAAUACUGUCAAUCUC
rnacentral:lncRNA from 1 species